rnacentral:rRNA from 1 species
UGGGGAAUAUUGCACAAUGGGCGCGAGCCUGAUGCAGCCAUGCCGCGUGUGUGAAGAAGGCCUUCGGGUUGUAAAGCACUUUCAGCGAGGAGGAAGGUGGUGAGCUUAAUACGCUUAUCAAUUGACGUUACUCGCAGAAGAAGCACCGGCUAACUCCGUGCCAGCAGCCGCGGUAAUACGGAGGGUGCAAGCGUUAAUCGGAAUUACUGGGCGUAAAGCGCACGCAGGCGGUUUGUUAAGUCAGAUGUGAAAUCCCCGGGCUCAACCUGGGAACUGCAUUUGAAACUGGCAAGCUAGAGUCUCGUAGAGGGGGGUAGAAUUCCAGGUGUAGCGGUGAAAUGCGUAGAGAUCUGGAGGAAUACCGGUGGCGAAGGCGGCCCCCUGGACGAAGACUGACGCUCAGGUGCGAAAGCGUGGGGAGCAAACA